GUGCCAGCAGCCGCGGUAAUACGAAGGGGGCUAGCGUUGUUCGGAUUUACUGGGCGUAAAGCGCACGUAGGCGGAUCGUUAAGUCGGGGGUGAAAUCCUGGAGCUCAACUCCAGAACUGCCUUCGAUACUGGCGAUCUUGAGUCCGGAAGAGGUGAGUGGAACUCCUAGUGUAGAGGUGGAAUUCGUAGAUAUUAGGAAGAACACCAGUGGCGAAGGCGGCUCACUGGUCCGGUACUGACGCUGAGGUGCGAAAGCGUGGGGAGCAAACAGGAUUAGAUACCCUCGUAGUCC
rnacentral:rRNA from 1 species